UACCAGCACCCCGAGUGGUCGGGACGAUUAUUGGGCCUAAAGCAUCCGUAGCCGGUCAUGCAAGUCCUCCGUUAAAUCCACCUGCUUAACAGAUGGGCUGCGGAGGAUACUACAAGGCUAGGAGGCGGAAGAGGCAAGCGGUACUCAGUGGGUAGGGGUAAAAUCCUCUGAUCCAUUGAAGACCACCAGUGGCGAAGGCGGCUUGCCAAUACGCGCUCGACGUGAGGAUGAAGCUGGGGA
rnacentral:rRNA from 1 species